AGUGAACGCUGGCGGUAGGCCUAACACAUGCAAGUCGAACGGCAGCACAGUAAGAGCUUGCUCUUACGGGUGGCGAGUGGCGGACGGGUGAGGAAUACAUCGGAAUCUACUUUUUCGUGGGGGAUAACGUAGGGAAACUUACGCUAAUACCGCAUACGACCUACGGGUGAAAGCAGGGGAUCUUCGGACCUUGCGCGAUUGAAUGAGCCGAUGUCGGACUAGCUAGUUGGCGGGGUAAAGGCCCACCAAGGCGACGAUCCGUAGCUGGUCUGAGAGGAUGAGCAGCCACACUGGAACUGAGACACGGUCCAGACUCCUACGGGAGGCAGCAGUGGGGAAUAUUGGACAAUGGGCGCAAGCCUGAUCCAGCCAUACCGCGUGGGUGAAGAAGGCCUUCGGGUUGUAAAGCCCUUUUGUUGGGAAAGAAAAGCAGCAGGUUAAUACCCCGCUGUUCUGACGGUACCCAAAGAAUAAGCACCGGCUAACUUCGUG
rnacentral:rRNA from 1 species